UACGUAGGGUGCAGAGCGUUAAUUCGGAAUUGUACGUGGGCGUAAAGCGUGCGCGGCGGUUCGUUAAAGUUCGGAUGUGAAAGCCCCCGGGCCUCAACCUGGGAAUUGCAUUGGGAAACUGGCGGGCUUGAGGUGAUGGCAGAGGGGGGUGGAAGUUCCAACGGUGUAGCAGUGAAAUGCGUAGAGAUGUGGAGGAACACCGAUGGCCGAAGGCAGCCCCUGGGCGUAACACGAUGACGCUCGAGGCACGAAAGCCGUGGGGAGCAAACAGG
rnacentral:rRNA from 1 species